rnacentral:rRNA from 1 species
CGACCGCGCACGGGUGAGUAACACGUAUGCAACCUGGCCGUGACAGAUGGAUAACCGGGAGAAAUCCCGCCUAAUACAACAUAAUGCCGGGAGGGGACAUCCCCUGCCGGUCAAAGGGGGCGACCCCGGUCAUGGAUGGGCAUGCGGCGCAUUAGGUAGUUGGUGGGGCAACGGCCCACCAAGCCGACGAUGCGUAGGGGUUCUGAGAGGAAGGUCCCCCACAUUGGAACUGAGACACGGUCCAAACUCCUACGGGAGGCAGCAG